UACGGAGGGGACUAGCGUUGUUCGGAAUUACUGGGCGUAAAGCGCACGUAGGCGGAUCGAUCAGUCAGGGGUGAAAUCCCAGGGCUCAACCCUGGAACUGCCUUUGAUACUGUCGAUCUGGAGUAUGGAAGAGGUGAGUGGAAUUCCGAGUGUAGAGGUGAAAUUCGUAGAUAUUCGGAGGAACACCAGUGGCGAAGGCGGCGCUCUGGGCUGGAACUGACGCUGAGGAGCGAAAGCGUGGGGAGCGAACAGG
rnacentral:rRNA from 1 species